rnacentral:rRNA from 1 species
GUGUCAGCAGCCGCGGUAAUACAGAGGGUGCUAGCGUUGUUCGGAAUUAUUGGGCGUAAAGCGCGUGUAGGCGGCUUGGCAAGUCGGGUGUGAAAUCCGUCGGCUUAACCGACGAAGUGCGCCCGAAACUACCUGGCUUGAAUGCCGGAGAGGAUGGCGGAAUUCCCGGUGUAGAGGUGAAAUUCGUAGAUAUCGGGAGGAACACCAGCGGCGAAGGCGGCCAUCUGGACGGACAUUGACGCUGAGACGCGAAAGCGUGGGGAGCAAACAGGAUUAGAUACCCGAGUAGUCC